CCUACGGGAGGCAGCAGUGGGGAAUUUUGGACAAUGGGCGCAAGCCUGAUCCAGCAAUGCCGCGUGAGUGAAGAAGGCCUUCGGGUUGUAAAGCUCUUUUGUCAGGGAAGAAACGGUGGGGGCUAAUAUCUCCUACUAAUGACGGUACCUGAAGAAUAAGCACCGGCUAACUACGUGCCAGCAGCCGCGGUAAUACGUAGGGUGCAAGCGUUAAUCGGAAUUACUGGGCGUAAAGCGUGCGCAGGCGGUUUUGUAAGUCUGUCGUGAAAGCCCCGGGCUCAACCUGGGAAUUGCGAUGGAGACUGCAAGGCUUGAAUCUGGCAGAGGGGGGUAGAAUUCCACGUGUAGCAGUGAAAUGCGUAGAGAUGUGGAGGAACACCGAUGGCGAAGGCAGCCCCCUGGGUCAAGAUUGACGCUCAUGCACGAAAGCGUGGGGAGCAAACAGGAUUAGGUACCCUGGUAGUCCACGCCCUAAACGAUGUCUACUAGUUGUCGGGUUUUAAUUAACUUGGUAACGCAGCUAACGCGUGAAGUAGACCGCCUGGGGAGUACGGUCGCAAGNUUAAAACNCAAAGGAAUUGACGG
rnacentral:rRNA from 1 species